AUUGAACGCUGGCGGCAGGCCUAACACAUGCAGGUCGAACGGUAACAGGAAACAGCUUGCUGUUUCGCUGACGAGUGGCGGACGGGUGAGUAAUGUCUGGGAAACUGCCUGAUGGAGGGGGAUAACUACUGGAAACGGUAGCUAAUACCGCAUAACGUCGCAAGACCAAAGAGGGGGACCUUCGGGCCUCUUGCCAUCGGAUGUGCCCAGAUGGGAUUAGCUAGUAGGUGGGGUAACGGCUCACCUAGGCGACGAUCCCUAGCUGGUCUGAGAGGAUGACCAGCCACACUGGAACUGAGACACGGUCCAGACUCCUACGGGAGGCAGCAGUGGGGAAUAUUGCACAAUGGGCGCAAGCCUGAUGCAGCCAUGCCGCGUGUAUGAAGAAGGCCUUCGGGUUGUAAAGUACUUUCAGCGGGGAGGAAGGGAGUAAAGUUAAUACCUUUACUCAUUGACGUUACCCGCAGAAGAAGCACCGGCUAACUCCGUG
rnacentral:rRNA from 1 species